UUGGGCUGCCGAAUUCUAGAGAGAGAGAGAGAGAAGGAGUGGUGUGAGCUAGAGAGAGAGAGAAGGAAGAAGAUGAGAAAGAAGAAGGUCUUGGGGAAAACUCUAGGCUUGAGCAAGGGGGAUUAUAGUUGUGGGUAUUGGUUAUCUUGUGUGUUCUUGAUUUUACAAUCAAGACAGUCUUGCAGGUCCCGUAGCUUGCUCUUGCAGGUCAUCCCUCUCUUUGUACCAAGUUCUCCUUUGCUCUAUCAAUGGAGGAGCCUCUUCUAUUCUGAGAAAUACCUCAAACCCACCAGCUGUUUCACUCAUUCUCAGCUGAAGCAAAAGAUACAUCUAAGCCUACGGAUUAUGCUCGGUUAAGAUGUACCAUAAAAAACUUUUCAAAGCUUGGUAGCAAGAUCCAUUAUUCAGAUAUUUUCUAUGCAGGAGGAUACAAAUGGAAGAUGCAAAUUCACCCAAAAGGCCUCAAUGUGGUGGAUUUUUUGUCCAUGUAUCUAGAAGUGGUUGAUUUUCAAACUUUGCCUCCUGGGUGGAGCAUUAAUGUCCAGUUUUUCAGCUUUUCAGUAAUCAAUCAAAAUCCUCAAUUAACAGUAAAAAAAAGUAUUCACCACUUAUUCGAACGUUGAUAUCUAAUAUUGAUGCAAAAUGUUUCUUUUAUUAGUUAAA